AUCACAGGACUGAGAUCUAGGCAUCUGGAAUGUUUUAAAGUUUGCUGCUACACAAUGUCUUAAAAGGACCUGUGAUGAGAAAAAUGUCAAGCACAGCUUUAAGACCUUGUGUCGAAAGGAGCUAAUGAGAAAGCAGAUUGGAAGGUAAGACUUCAUGUGUGUUUUGAAAUAAAUGGUCUUAAACUUUUUCUGUAAGAAGAAAAUUUAGUUCAUGUUUAUCUUUCUAUCUGUCUAUCUAAACCACUAGUUUUUACAGCUUUCAGGUAAAAUCCAACACUUGGUUUAUACAAAGUCUAUGAGAAGAGAUCAGUAG
rnacentral:lncRNA from 1 species